AGCAUACUUAAGCCUGAGAACUCAGUCCUGAGAGAAACUCCUAGAUGGAAAAGGCAGCUUCAGCAGGACCAGCUCCAUUCUGCAAGAACAAAGAAAUCUCGGGAUAUGGAGACAAGGAGCUGGUUGUUCUCCCAAGGCUUACUUCCCAGAGGCUCUGAGGGAUGUCCUUAGCCUUCUGGGAACCCGUUUCCUGCUCUGUACAUGCACUACAAGAAUUCAGAGGCCUCAGCCUUUUGCUCCUGAGGGAAAGGAAGCCUGGAGCCCAGAAGUCACUAAAAUAUUUUAAAAUAUGUAGACCCAUUCUAAUAUCCAGGCUAUGACGGCAGCCAGGAAGAGGCGCCGAGCAAUAUACAGGAUGAUCUCCAGACUGUUGCACAAUAAGUUUGUCCAGAAAAGCUGGAGUGAAUGUAGGAAAAUGAUGGUGGCCCCGGAAACCUUAUAUUGGACCUUCCAGGAGUCCAAUAAAAUGGACAACCUCAUCUCAUUCUCUACCCCUUCAAGGCUUCUUUCAAACGAGUCUGUCACUUCAGAUGGGCCAGACAUGAGGGCUCUGAGCGUGAAGGGUCUGAUGUUAAGUCCAUAGACCUUGAUCCCUCAGGGGCAUACUUUUGGAACCCCAAACCUGCUUGGACUCUUCCUUGGCAUGUUAUGGUGCAAUACAAGUUCAUUCCUUGGAAUGGAGCCUCCAUGGCCCAAGUACAGAACGUCCAGAUGAUGGAGAACAGCAACCUGGAGCCCCCACUAGUGAUCCCUGCCACAUUCACCUAUAUACCCACCCAAGUGCCUCAUUGGAGAACUGCUCAGGGUCCACACAGCCAGAGAUUCCAUGGAACACAGAGCCUCUCAUCUAUAUGGACAAUAGCUUCCCUGAGGAACACAUUCGCGCCCACAUGACUCGUAUCUCAUUUCAAGAAAUACCAUUUGCUUCCUCUCAUCUUCCAUGGACUACAGAGAACAACCGUAUCUGCCAGCUCCAGGACAGCUCUUCGGGUUGGAAUGUUAACAAAGGCAAAGACACAGGUCAGAAUGCCUCCGACAAUAGAGUACAGGACACCUCCUCCACCGAGGUCCCUUUGAUAAACACGCAGCAUGAAGAGUCCCUUAACAGUCCCCCAAAUCAAAUGACCUACAUGUCAGAGACUAUGCAAGUUAUCAAUUCAGUGCCCAAUAAAAAGAUAGUGAGCCUAGAGGAUCAUAUUCCUUAGGAGAUGACCCUGCAAUAUUUAUUAUGCAGAAACAUGGACGAAUGAAUGCUACCCCCCCCAAAUCCAGUCCAUCCCCACUUCCCUAACCAUAUGGAACCCACUAUUCUUCCCCCACCUCUGUUCUUCUUUUCCCACAAUUAUAUCCAAACAAGAUAGGAAUCCCAAGAAACUAAUGCCACACAAAGUAAUUUCAGGUAGUAGUGGAGAUAUGCCACUCCAUGGACCCCAGAGACUCUCAUUUGUAUUGAAAAUAGCUUCCCUCAGGAGCACAUACUGGCUUACAUGACAUAUCCCAUUUCAAGAAAUGCUAUUUGCCUCCCCCAAUCUUCCAUGGUACUCCAGGUAGGCCUAGCCCGGUAGACACCAUACCUUGGUCCUUUAUACUCCUGCUUUUCUCUUUUCCCUAUUCUACCUCUCUUGGGUGGAGAAGAGGGCAAAAUAUCUCUGGUGUACAUGCUUUCCUUCUCAAUGUCCCCCACCCCUGUUUCUUUUUCAACAUCUGUAUACACACAUUAUAGGAACUUAAAAGGAAAGCCAAGUUUGAUCAGAACCACAAAGUAAUAAUUUCAUUCCCUAUUUCAGGCAGGACUUGUCUGUUGUAUCCUUAACUGGGUCUCCAUACUCUUGAUUUUCCUGUCCCCAUUCAUGUUCUAUUUUCUUGUCUGGAUAUGUUCAAAUGAAAUAUAAAUUUUUUUGUUAAAAAAUGUUUACAAGAAACACAUUUAACCCAAAGUAAUAAGUUCAGAGUACAGAUAAUAGGCAGGAGUAAAAAAAAAAAAAACUAUUAUGCUUCAAGUGAACUAAGAAAAGCAAGAGUAGCAAUCAUAAUUUCUGAUCAGAAAAAA